CUUGAGGAGGGGUUCCUCAUAUGGAAAAAGGCUAAUGAAAGGAACAAUCAAGACCAGACUUAAAGUAAAAUAAUACGUAUACAUAAUUUAUAUCGGAAUAAGUACAAAAUAUUUUUGUAGGUAUAUGUUUUAACUAUAAAUUGAAUAUCCACAGAUUUUAGCGGCGACGCAGUUGCGCGACCAGUGAAGCUCUGGCUCCGCGACCGGCGUGGAGCGCGCGGUCCGCGCGGCGCUGCUGCGGCUGCUGCGCGGGAGGAUCCCGUCCCUGCGCAUGCGCCUGGCCUUCAAUGGCCUCACGCCUCUCUUCUUCCUCUUCUUCAUGCGUCAAUUCAAACAGAGGAGCACCUGUGAUUACUGAUUACCUAAGUUCCUAUAUACAAUAAUAGUUUAAUAAUUGUUACCAAAAUAUUGUAUAUAUAAGUAUUAAUAAUUAUACAAAAGGCUAAAAGCAUUUUGUACCAGCCAACCUAUAGGAGAGAAUAUGAGAAAAAUAAUAAGACUUUAAUCUUUGAUUGCCAGAUAAUGCUAGCUUUGUAGCUUUAUUAAGUGGUAAAGGGACCUAAUUACCACCUUAGAUAUUUUUUUUGUAUUUGUGAUAAUUCAUAGAAUUUAUUAGUUCUAUCAAUAAAUAAAAUAUACAUGCAUUACAAUGUGUUUAAUUCAUUAACUUACAAUUUGCACACUGAGGGAAUGUGUAUGCUUUCGGUUAAAAUAUUCUUCCUCAUUCUGCGAGGGCCUCAGGCCAAAACCCACGCCAAUCAAAUAAAUAUCACUAAUACAAGCUUACUAUAAAGGAAAAUUACGAAUUCGGUAAAGAUGGAAACGUAUCUUGUAGGGACGGCUGUCCGGCUGAAAAAUGGCUUGAAGAUCUUGGAGAGAUGCGUAUUUUUUCUGAAAACGAUCUAACAAUUUCACCCUUUUCUUCGAAAGUUUAAAAUCGCUAAAACGUCAAAAUAUGACAGAUAAGCGAUAUCAAAAAGUUCAACAAAAAUGACAUGAAUCGCGUCAUUCUCCAUUCCGUUCAUUCAUUUUGCGAUCUCAAAACGAUCUUACUAUGUAGCUUGUUUUUAGUGCCAUGUGAAUCGCAAUUUCAUAGCUCGUUCGUAAAAAUCUGAAAACGAGAUGAAAACGAAGGUGUUUUUUUGUGACACGAAUCACC